rnacentral:rRNA from 1 species
GACGAACGCUGGCGGCGUGCUUAACACAUGCAAGUCGAACGGAAAGGCCCUGCUUUUGUGGGGUGCUCGAGUGGCGAACGGGUGAGUAACACGUGAGUAACCUGCCCUUGACUUUGGGAUAACUUCAGGAAACUGGGGCUAAUACCGGAUAGGGGCUCCUGCUGCAUGGUGGGGGUUGGAAAGUUUCGGCGGUUGGGGAUGGACUCGCGGCUUAUCAGCUUGUUGGUGGGGUAGUGGCUUACCAAGGCUUUGACGGGUAGCCGGCCUGAGAGGGUGACCGGCCCAUUGGGGCCUGGGAUCCGCCCCAGCCUCUUACGGGAGGAAGAGGUGGGAAAUAUUCCACAAUGGCCGGAGGCUUGAUGAAGCACCCCGGCGUGCGGGAUGCCGCCCUUCGGGUUGUAACCGCUUUCGCCUGUGACGAAGCGUGAGUGACGGUAAUGGGUAAAGAAGCACCGGCUAACUACGU